AAGUUUUUCAUUGAGGAGCAUCAUACAGAAGUUAUCUGACAAAAUGGCAAAACUUACUUUCGUUCUCUUGGCUAUUUUCGCCGUAAUUGUUCUCGCAACAACUGAAGUUAGUGCAGGUAAAUUUGAAAUUGAGCACCACGAAAUAUACCAAGUAGAAGGCGACAGCUGUGAUUGCAUCUAUUGCUCAUCCAAUUGUACUGCCAAGGAAGACAAUCGUUAUGUAGGAGGUUUCUGUUACUGGAACGAUUGUGUAUGUGUUUGGUUCAGACGUAGAUAACAUGGCUAAACCAAUUUUGAAAUUCAAUAAAAUCAUUUAAUAUCGUAAA